rnacentral:siRNA from 1 species
CAGCUAUGUCUACUCUUUGUGC